rnacentral:rRNA from 1 species
AAACGACUCUCGGCAACGGAUAUCCCGGCUCUCGCAUCGAUGAAGAACGUAGCGAAAUGCGAUACUUGGUGUGAAUUGCAGAAUCCCGUGAACCAUCGAGUUUUUGAACGCAAGUUGCGCCCGAUGGCAUUAGGCUGAGGGCACGUCUGCCUGGGUGUCACGU